UACGUAGGGGGCGAGCGUUGUCCGGAAUUAUUGGGCGUAAAGAGCUCGUAGGCGGUUCGGCAAGUCACGUGUGAAAUCUCCACGCUCAACGUGGAGGCGCCACGUGAGACUGCCGUGACUCGAGUCCGGUAGGGGAGCGUGGAAUUCCUGGUGUAGCGGUGAAAUGCGCAGAUAUCAGGAGGAACACCGGUGGCGAAGGCGGUUCUCUGGGCAUGUCCUGACGCUGAGGAGCGAAAGUGUGGGGAGCGAACAGG
rnacentral:rRNA from 1 species